rnacentral:rRNA from 1 species
UAAUAGCGUAUAUUAAAGUUGUUGCAGUUAAAAAGCUCGUAGUCGGAUGUCGGGCUCGGAGAGGCUGUCGGCCUUUGGUCGGACGGCAACUCCGGGCCUUUCUGCCUGGGGAUCCUACUCUGCUUAACCGCAGGGUAGUGGGACGCAGGCCGUUUACUUUGAAAAAAUUAGAGUGUUCAAAGCAGGCCUACGCUUGAAUACAUUAGCAUGGAAUAAUGGAAUAGGACUUUGGUCUUAUUUGUUGGUUUAUGGGACCGAAGUAAUGAUUAACAGGGACAGUUGGGGCCGUUUAUAUUCCGUAGUCAGAGGUGAAAUUCUUGGAUUUACGGAAGAUAAACUACUGCGAAAGCAUUCGGCAAGGAUGUUUUCGUUAA